GUCGCCUAAAACAGGAGGUUGUGGGUCCCGGAAAGCCUCAGAUGUGCGCUCCAGGCCUGGUGACGCUGCUCUCCAGAGAGGAUGCUCCGGGGGAAUGGGGAACACGUCCAGAAAAUAUUAAGGUGAAGGUGUCUUGGCGUUCCACAGUACUUCACAGAAUGUUCCAGUUAAAGCAAACCUAGAGCUCAUCUCGAUCUCUCUGCUCAGUGGAGAAGAGCAAUUGAUAGGCACGGGAGCAGAUGGGGACUGACAGAGCUCCUAGGCUGAAAGCUAAUUGAAGGAGACUGGGGAAGACUUUGACGGCGCUCAAAUGCCAGCAAUGAUCGGGAAAUCAAUGCAAGGAUCCAAUGAACUACACUCAGUGCAAUUUAAGGAACACUCCUAAUUUCCAAACUGGUGCUAAUAAUUUAGUCUGUCUGGUUGGCGCCCAAGGAAAGGUAAUCCAGAAUGCCUCUGUGAUAUUGUCCUAAUAGUUUUCCAUAUUUAGAGGUAUGUUACACGAGCAGAGCAUGUGAGUGUAAUGGAGCAACAGCGAUUUUCCCUCCUAGUGUUCUGUAAUCACUCCAUUCCCAGUGCCGUUCCGGCUUUUCCAUUUCCCACGUGUUUCCCACUGAUAGGAGAAAGUCCACCUCUUUCAUUCCACAGCAACAUUUAUGGGCAGUUAAUUAUCAACUGUGAACAAAUCAAUAAUGUAUGGGCACAAAAAAGUUUCCUUGUUUUAUUUUCUGUAUUUAAAGUGGACACUUUGCAUGGGUAUCACCAACAAGGCUUAGUCUUAAACCCACAUUAAAUCAAGAUCUA